rnacentral:misc_RNA from 1 species
CGAAGUAGGGUCUGAAGACUCUUAAACCUACCGUGCUCCCCUACGUGGAAAACAGGAAAGCCUCCGGGGCAUAGGAAAUCUGAGAGUUGAGAACUGCGCCCCGGCGCAUGACUAAAACAAAAAAUUA